ACUUCCUCCUAAGUUACUAGAUCUAAAAGUUAGCCUAUAAAUUUUAAAAAUUUCAUAAUCUAAUCUAUAGAUUUACUGUGAAAAUUAUUGACAUCAUGUUUAUAUAUUUGAAUAAUAUUCGGAAACCAAAACGUAAUAAACCAAAAUAACCCAAAACAAAUAGAUCGAUUCUAGAUCAUUGGCAAAUUCAACUGAGUCAUUGGUACUGUAUUGGUUGUGGCCUAGCCUUCAGCACAUUGAGUGGUAGGGUCAAUUCGAG